rnacentral:rRNA from 1 species
CGGACGGGUGAGUAACACGUAGAGAACCUACCUACACGAGGGGACAACGGCUAGGAAACGGCUGCUAAUACCGCAUAAGCCACCCUAGUUUCGCAUAGAAACAGAGUAGAAAAGNGUAAAUCGGUGUAAGAUGGCUCUGCGUCUGAUUAGCUAGUUGGUGGGGGUAAAGGCUCACCAAGGCGACGAUCAGUAGCCGGCCUGAGAGGGUGAACGGCCACAUUGGGACUGAGACACGGCCCAAACUCCUACGGAAGGCAGCAG